rnacentral:rRNA from 1 species
GGGGGCCCGGCCACAAGCGGUGGAGGCAUGUGGUUUAAUUCGAUGAUACGCGAGGGAACCUUACCUGGGCUCAAAUGUAUGUUGACGUAUUCUGAAAGGGAUACUUCUUCGGACAAUAUACAAGGUGCUGCAUGGUUGUCGUCAGCUCGUGCCGUGAGGUGUCGGGUUAAGUCCCAUAACGAGCGCAACCCCUAUCAUUAGUUGCCAUCAGGUCAAGCUGGGGACUCUAAUGAAACUGCCUACGCAAGUAGUGAGGAAGGUGGGGAUGACGUCAAAUCAGCACGGCCCUUACGUCCAGGGCUACACACGUGCUACAAUGGCCGGUACAAAGGGCAGCUACCUGGUGACAGGAUGCUAAUCUCAAAAGUCGGUCUCAGUUCGGAUCGGAGUCUGCAACCCGACUCCGUGAAGUUGGAUUCGCUAGUAAUCGCGCAUCAGCCAUGGCGCGGUGAAUACGUUCCCGGGCCUU